GCCACAUUAGCUCAGUUGGUAGAGCAUCGCAUUCGUAACGCGAAGGUCAACAGUUCAAGCCUGUUAUGUGGCU
rnacentral:tRNA from 1 species